AUGUGACUUGCUUAUCAGCUCUGCUGAUGGACGGCUGUCUCCGCUGGACACUUUAUUAAAGUUUUUCAACUUUUUGUAGCUAGAUGAAAUGACAGAUGUGAAAGAAAUAUGAAUUUGAACUAUCAGUUGUAAGCUGCAACUGAGAGAAAAUCAUAACAAAAAUGGCAUCAAAUCAACCUGGGCCACCUGGCCCCACUGGCCCCACUGAAGGCCAAGGAGCGACCAAUGCAGAGGAUGGUGAUGUCGAUAGUGUAGAUAAUGCAUGCAAUACUGGUACUGGCAGUGAUACUAAACAUGACAACACUGGUGAGCGUACUAUUCCAUCUACAGAAGAUGUCCUUGGCAAAGGUGAGGUUGAUAAGCAAAAUAUUGGUUGUCAAAGUGAUAAGGGCCUUGAAGAUGAAAUCCAAGCAGACAAGACAGAUGGUAAUGAGGAAAAUAGAGUUCCAUCCCAAGAUAAAGCUGAACUUAGAGCAGAGGAGAAGGAUGCAACCAAAGAUGCUUGCAAAAAAGAGAUUGAAACGAGAGUAGUUGCAAGUGCAUCAGCAGGGAGCAGUUUUGAUAAAGAGUAUAAAAUUGCAGUAGAUGGUGUUGCAACACAAGGCCAUGCAAAAGACCAAAAAGCUGAAAACAUUAACUCAGAUUCUAAAGAGAAUUGUACUGAUGAAACAGAAAAAAAGAUAGAUGUGAUUGAUGGUGAAAUGACACUUGAUCAUAACAAUGGGAAUAAACCUGAAAUGAAAACUGAUGAUCAGUCAGAAAUAAGGGAAGGCAGGACCACAGAUGUUGAAACCGGAAAAGCAGAAAAAGCAAUUGAGCCAUCAGACUCAGCAGCCAAAGGCAAAGAAAAUGGAAAUCUGCAAGAUAAUCCCAUUUCAGUGGGAAAACCCUCUACCUCUCUAGAAAAUCAGGAGAAUGUUGUCCUUAAUGCAGAAAAGAGGAAUGAAGGUGACACUGAAGUUAAAAAGAGUGUCACUCAUCCCGGCAAUAGCAAUGAUAAAGUUGGUAUAAACGAUGAAAUACAGCACCCAUUUGUUGAUGAAAGUAAAGAUGCAAACAAGAAAAGUCCACCUGGAGAUGCUCUCAAUAAUAAAGAAGCUUCAAAAAGUAAAGUGCUUCAUGAACAAGAUCUAGGAACUGGGAAUUUUGAAGACGAAGAAAAGAGAUGGUCUGAAAAAAAGGGGGAGAGUGUUCCCAGUCAAGGCAAUAAAAAAUUAGAUACUGCUAAUCCUAAAGUGAGUACUUCAGACCAGAUGAAAAAUGGCAAAAUAAGCAGCAAUUCUUCAGCUGAGAAAGAAUCUAAUAUUAAACAUGAUAAAAGAACACUUGAAGACACAAUGGCAGGGGACAGUUUGAUUAAAGAAAAUGAGAAGUCGAAAGAUACAGGAGAUGUUGUUACAAGUCAAGACUAUGCUAGAGAACUCAGUGGAAAAUUGGAUGAGAAAACAAGAAGGAAUAAUAUGGAUGAUGGCAAAAAGACACCACUUGAUCAAAACAAUGGAAGUAAACCUGAUAUUGCUGUACAGUCUGAUGGCAGGGAAGACAGAACCACUGAAAAGGAAUCUGAAAGAACAGAAGCAACAUCUAGCUUGAAACCAUCAGAUUCAGUAACCAGUUGCAAAGAAAAGUCUGAAAAUCUACAAGAUAAUUUGAAUGUAAAUGGAGAAUCCUUUGCCUCUCCAGAGGUAAAGGAAAAGGUUGAAAACGAAAACCCAAAAUUAACAUCUACCAAUGACACAGAAAAAACAGAAGGUGAUGAGAAUCAGGUUAAGAAGCAAGUUUCGGAUCAUGGUGACAGGGAUCAUGGACUAGAUAUUAGGAAUGAUUCUAAUGAUAUGGCUGCAGGUUUUAGUAGAUAUAAAACUGCUGCAAAAGACAAAGAUUCAACAGAAAAAGAUGCUCCAGAAGAUUCUAACAAAGAUAAAGUAGAUGACAAAGGACUUGAAAAUGCAGAUUUAGUAACAGUAAGAUUUCAAGAUGAAGAAGAGAAGUAUGGGGAGACUAACAAUGAUGAUCAAAGACAAGGCAGUAAGGAAUUAAAGUCAUCUCAUCAUCUGAUGAGUUCUGCGGAACAGACCAAAGAGGAAAAUGACAAAAGGGGGGAAAAUACCACAGCUGAAAACAAAACACCUGCUUCUGUGCAUUUAGCAGAAAAAGAAAAUUCUAGCAGUAAAGAAAAAUCACAAAAUUCUGUUAAAGUUGGAAAAUCUGCAGGAUUUCCAGAAACACUGAAUGAGGACAGAGAAAAUGCUGGUGAUAGAGAAACAUUGCAGGGAAAACCUUCUCCAGAAUCAGAAACUUCUUGGGAAACUUUUGAAAAACCAAAAGACAAGAAUGGUCCAGUUCAGUCAGAAACACUAUGUACAACAGAAAACAAAUUUUCCACUAAAACUCAGGAACAGGAACUUGAAUGCAAGAAAGUAAGUCACGAAGGCAUUGGAAAUAAAGGAAGUACAGCUGAUGUAGGUGACUCAGAGUCACCUAACAUUCUAGAUCAGGGAAAUAAUUUACAAGUGCGAAAUUCCUUUGAUACAACAGGACAAGAAGAUGAAACCAAAUUUGCAGAGAAAAUCACAACUGAAAAUCAGAAUGAUGAACCAACUUCAAGGAUGAAAGAAAAACAGGGUGACUGUGGUGGUGUUGAAGGAUCAUUAAGUUCUGAAGAUGUUGAUGAAGAUGAGAGGAAUAAAGAUACUGAGAAUGCAGAUGUAGCUAAUUCAUCAAACAGUAAGUCAACAAAUAUGGAAGCUUCGAUAUCAGAUGCUUCUUCCCAAGGUGAGCAGAAUCUCAUCUCUUUGAAUGAGUCCAACUAUGCAGAUGGUUGGAAGAGUAUCACAGAGGUAAGAGUGGAUGAAUCACAAAAUGAAGAAAACAUGCAUACUGAUUCACCUCAAAAACAAAUUUUCUCCGUCACUGCUAGUACAAACAUGCCUGCCACUAGAAGUCAACAGACAAUCUCUAGAGGUUAUGAAGAAAGGAUGAAUGGAAAUAAAAACUGGGAGUGGGAUUCUGAAAAGAAUACAUCAAAGAGUAUAGCUAAGUUUUCCAAGAUUCAGACAGUGUCAACUGGAGAAAAUGAAGAAAAUGAAAGCUCUGAUGAAGAGGAGAAUGAAAAAAGUAUCCAUGCUUCAACAGGAAGUGAGGACAUAAAGGAUGAAUUGAUAAAGAAAAAAACAAUAACUGAACAGCUAGGGAAUGAAGAGGGUCCAAAAGAGAUUCUUAAACAUUGGUGCACAUUAGGCAAUCCACUUAAAGUUCAACUUUUAGGAAAAAUUCAUGAAUAUGAAAAACAGCUUGAUAUGUUACUCAUAGAACUUGUUUCUGAUCCUAUUCUGGAUAAAAAUAGAGAGGAAUGGACAAAAAAAUUAAAACUGAAAUUAUUGGGUCUUUGGAUUGAAAGUAAUACUCAAGGAACAAGCUCUUUACAUUCGUUUGGCCAGGCCAGUCAUCAAAUUAUUGGUAGUACAUCUUCUAAAUAUCAAAAUCAAGAAAUUUUGAAACAGUAUCCUAAAGAAUUUGAUCAACAGCCCUCUCAACGAUUUGGUCAAGAACCCUCUCAACAAUUUGGUCAAGAACCCUCUCAACAAUUUCGUCAAGAACCUUCUCAACAGUUUGAUCAAGAACCUUCUCAACGAUUUGGUCAAGAACAUUCUCAGCAAUUUGGUCAUAUGUUAAAUUCUUCUCAACCAUAUCAUCAGCAGUGUUUUCAACAGACGCCUCAGCAUUAUCAACAGCAUCCAUCUCCAUAUGUUCCAAAACAAUUGGUGGUAACAGUUCAAAUUGGAGUACAAAUACCAAUUUCACUCAGUUUACCUUGUGAAGUUCAUGAAUAUUUCCAGUGGUGUUUCUGUCUGUAUGAUGGAAUAUGUCUAGUAUCAUUAAAGGAAUCCCUUAGUGCCAUUGGGGCUAGUUUAAAUCUGUUUGAAAACAAGGCACCUAUAUUCAUGUUUUCAGCUUUUGCAGCUGAUACACAUGCAAUUAUAAUUCAUUUGCAACAUUAUUUAAAGGAAACAAGCCAAAAAUUUGAUAUAAAGUAUGAGUUUUGGGAUUUAUCAAUGAGUGAUGGAGAAGAAUUCUGCCAGAAAAUGUAUGGAGAAGGAAGAUGUAUAAAAGGUACAUCUCUAUUUUCGGAAAAGGAAAGUGGAAGAGAUGGAGUUUGGCUUGUUGGCCACAAGGCAGCCUUUGAUCAAGGUAAACCUUUAAUAAAAGCAGAACUUCAGAAGAUAAGAAGCAACAUCCCAUAUGUUGAUGAAUCAGUAUCAGGUCCAAGAAAAUUUGAUAUUUUGGAAAGUAAAAUUUUAGACCUGAUGAAAACAAAACUUGAAAUACAAUUUGAUGUAAAAAUAAAUCUUGAACCAGGUAAUAUUCAUAUUACUGAAAACACCAAGGGAAGUGCUGAAAAGGUACUAAGCAAACUUGGAGAGAUGCAUGCAAGUCUCAGACAUUUGAAAUUGCAGAAUGAAUUCCAUACUUUCCUUCUGCGAUCUGAGAAAGCUCAGUCAUAUGUCAUGAAUGAAAUUAAAUGGCAUUACAAAAAAAGCAUACAGUUCUUGAAACAUGAGAGGGAGAACAAAGCUGAAUUGCUCAUAUUUGAGGAAAACAACCUUGAUUUGGGAGAUGUUGAGAACAAUAUUUGCAAAUUGCUGUUUUUCAUUCCUUCUCAAGCUGCUCUUUGUCAGAUUUUUUGCACUGAAGAUGGGAAAAAAUCAUUUUCAAGUAUUGUAAAAGAAAAUGAAGGAAAAGUUACUAUGGUAUUGGAUGAAAAAGGUAAAGCCUGUUGUGUGGGAACAAAAGAUAUUGAAGAAAAGGUUAAAAGAAGCAUGGAAGGAGCAUUGAUGAUACCAAAAUUAAUACAAUUUCCAUCUGAAGAUGUUUACAGUUUUUGUAAAAAACAUUUGGACAUUCAGACCUUUGGAAAAGAAAAUAACUGCGAAGUACAUUUUGUGCCAGAUCCAAAGCAUCCUUGGGCAUUAGAAAUAUAUGGACUAAAAGCAAAUGUCUUUAAUUGUCGAAGGAAAAUUGAAAAUGAAAUUGGAAAAAUUGCUACAAAACCUGUUCAUCUUGCUGAGUCUUUUAAUGGCUUUGCAGUGAAUCUGAUUGAAAGGUGGAAUAAACAGAAGAGGUGCUUUGCAAGCCUCAAACAAGGAAAAGUGAAGAAAUCAUUCCCAUGGAAAAAAUGGAUUGAAAGUAGAGACUCUGGAGGAAGUUUUGCAUACUCGGUCAAUUUUAAUAGCAUCCAAGGAGGAGAACCAGAAACCCUGAGAAUUGUUCUUUUGCCAGAGGAUCAAGGAGGAGCAACAAGUAAAGGACAAUUUCAGCAACUUGAUGCUGACACCUUACAGAUAUAUAUAUCACCUAUGAAAUAUAAUAAAAAUAAGGACAUCAUUUCACAGAAAAUACAAUCAGUUUUGAAUGUUAACCAAGAAGGAAUGAAGAAGAAAAAUAUGGUGGUGGAUUGUGAACUUUUGCCGGAGAAAGAGUUGAGGGAUUUUAUGAAAUUAAUGUGCUUCGCUUAACAAAAGAGUUGGAAUCAACCUGGACCUAAUACAAUGUGAAUUUCAUGAAUUUAGACCUCAGAUGUUACCUUGCAUGACCAGUAUUAUUGAUGAUCAUUUAAAGAACAAAAAUGUAGAAGUAUUGGAGUGGAAAGGAAGAUGUAUAGAAAUGGAUGUGCAGGGAGGACAGUUGGCACAACAGAAGGACUUUGAUGUGUUAGUCAACAGCACUUCUUAUAAUCUGGUAUUGGAUUCAGGUUUUAUCUCCAAAUCCAUUUUAAAGGCUGCU